rnacentral:lncRNA from 1 species
UCAAUUCUCAACAGUUGGCAGGCUAGCAACUUCCCCACCUCUUAGUGCUGCAUAAAGAAGAUUCUCAAAGCUCAACCCUUGUUAUACAUAAAAGAUCCUGCUCUUUCUCAAGCAAUCGUGCUAUAAACUCCAUGCUGCAAAUAAUCAUGGUAACUUUCCUUCUCUCUGAUUCCACAGUUUGCAAUGAAUCAAUCAAGCAAAAGGCAGUAAAACUUAUCAAAUUCUGAAUGUCCUAUACUUCAAGUUAACUUCAUUGUUUCACACUGGUUGCUUAUUAACAACUUAUGAACAAACCUGCAGAAUGUGAGCAUUCACACUCCUAAGCAGAAAAUUCAAAGUAGAGAACACAAGCAUUACUGCCUGCAGUCCUUCCCCUUUGCAGGAAGGGCCUCAGCUUCAAACAUUCUCUGGGAGGUCUAUCAACUUUGAAGCAAAAUCAGCAGCAAAAAGUCACCUACUACAAGUAAAUUGAAAAUUUUCUCAGGAUCUGCAGCCAGCUGCUAGUAAAAUACUAGUCUGUUUAUUUGAAGAGCAACGCAAAUGACACCUACUUUACAGAUACAUUAAUAAUUUUAAUGGUAAUGC